ensembl:rRNA 5S_rRNA 5S ribosomal RNA
CUCUAUGAAAAACCCUACAUACUGUAUCAUAUAUUAAAUAUGUAUUUGCAAUCUCAACUGGUCUCAGAAGCUAAGCAGGGUUGGGCCUGGUUAGUACUUGGAUGGGAGACCACUUAGGAAGACCAGGUGCCGUAGGCA